rnacentral:misc_RNA from 1 species
AGAAUAAAAAUCGAGGCGUCGCUCUUUUUUUUAGGGUGAUCGCGUCGGAAUUGAGCCGUCUUUCAAAUGUUAAUUCAUGUCAAAGUGGCUUAAAAUUCAUCCAUCCGGUACGAUUAAAGCGUAUUUAAGAUCAAUUUUGUUCAAGAACGCGCGAUGACGUACCAUCUCAUGUAGUACGUUUGACCUGGGUCAUCAGGUUCAUUCGUAUACGAUACUCAAAC